GCUCCAUUAAAUAGUGCUGCUAAUCCACUAAUUUAUGUCUAUUUUCAACUCAUGUUUGUCGAAAUUUCCGUAAACAUUCAGCCGUCCUUUGGUUAACAAACGUUAUUUGCUUCUGUUUGCCGCGCCUAUACCCAAUCAGGGGAAGUACUCUUCGUAGCGAUAACAAUACUUUAACAUCAACUUAUACUCGUUCAUCUGGACGAAACUCAUUAAGCCCUCAUAAUAGAUAUCAAAUGGCUACGCGCAAUAAAUUCACCUACCAACAGCAACAACAAUCAUUUCAACCAUCAUCUUUGUAUCCACAUAAGACAUUUGAUACUUAUGGUGAUACUAUUCAGCAAACAACACUCAUCCUUGACAAUAACGAUGCUAAUAGUGAUACUGAUUGUAAAUUGAAUAGCAAUAAGUUAACCCUAAAUAACAGUAAGCUUGAUCUAUCGACAUCUGAUAGUGAGGUUUCCACUAGGUUAAGGUAGUACAAGGUAAUACGAUGAGUAAAUAUUGAUUAGUAUUGCAACAAAAUUAAUUUGUAUGCCAAUGUGAAAACUAAAUCAUAUAUUUUUUUGAUAAUUGUUGCUAGACACAUUGUUAAUAUGAAUAUGAUGAAUUGUGCAAAUGUUUUUUUUGCCACUUCUAUGUAAACCUUCAAAUGUAAUAUUUUUUCCUCCCCUUUUUGUAUGAAAUCAAAAAUUGAAUCUUUUUUGUAUUCUAAGCAUACACAUUUAAACAUAAUCAUUAUCAAAUACAAGGACAAGGUACAAAUAAACAAGUUAUUGAAUACUUAAAUGGUAAUCAAAUGCAUAAAAAUGACACAAAUCACAAGUUCGUAGAGUAAAUUGAAGGAUAUUGGAGAUGACAAGAGUUCAGUUUCACUUUUUGCCAUCAAUUUAACAGUAAUUACCCAAAUAUUGGAUAACAAAAUCUUAAGUGCAAGAGAGUAAUUAAAGCUUAUGAUUAAAGAUUUGGACGAUUGAAAGAGUAAGAUUAUUUAAUUUCUUUAAUUUACUUUUUGGACAAACAUUAAGUACUUUACUGUAUUACAUUCAUAUUAAACUUUUGCAUUGAAAUGUACAAAAACUGUUCAAUAGAUGGCGCUUGUCUUGCCAAAAUUGAAAUCGUCGGAUCAACUGAUUUGUUAUAUCAGUUUCGUCUUCAAAUUUAAUAUCUCUUUAAUUAAACAUGUGAAACUUAAUUCCAAUCUAUAAUUGUCUUUCUUAAUUGGUUUACUUUUACUUUCAAUUUGCUAUAUUUUGUUGUUAACUCAUUAGAUACAAUAAAACGUUACAGAACCCAUAAACCCUGGAGAUGUCAGCAGCUUCUGUGAAAAGAGUGUUUCAAAGCUUAAUUUGGAAACACAAAGGCCAUUCACUGAUUGAUUUUAAUAUAUUUUUGUAACCAUCGAUGUCAAAAGAUUUCAUCAAAUUCUGAUUCAACUUUACUACAUUCGCUGGUUGCAUCUAAAAAAGCCAAAAGUAUCAUCAUAACCCACCUCCAAUGAGUACCGGUGUAUUUAGGCGCCAUUUUUGGUGGAGUUUCUUUACGUAGAGUUUGGAUGCUGAUCUCUUAUCGAUUCGGCCUCGUGGCCCAACGGAUAAGGCGUCUGACUUCGGAUCAGAAGAUUGCAGGUUCGAAUCCUGCCGAGGUCGAUAACUUUUGGCCUUUUCGAUCUCUGGCUGCAUUUUUUAUGUAUCUUUCUAUAGGCUGGUGUGAUUUUUUAAGUAACUCAAGCUAAAGCGAAUGAAAAUUGGCCAAAGUUGGAAAAUUUUUCUAAACAUAUGUUGUCUGCUGAUGAAUCAACCUGCAUGAUUACUGGAAGAUACGGAAAACAAGGAAAUCAAACAUUUCGCUUCCGUUUAAGUUCUUGUUUCGUUGUCGUGUUUUGAUUGUUAAAUUAUUAUUCAUCGAGUAACGUAAUUUGCUGCCGUUUGGUUAGGAAACAAAUCGCUAUCAUUAUGUUCAAAGCUUCUAAUUUGGUAACCAUUUAAGUGUUGGCUUCUAUCAAUUGCUGUGUGAUCAUCAUUCAGUAACAUCUAUUUCAAUCAUUAAUGGUGCAUAACAACUGAUUAAAUAGAUAUUAGAAAGUUGACUGUGACUUACAAUUCGAUGUCGAACCAGAAUCGCUACCAACUGUUGAUUUUGUACUUUAUGGUUACAGAUUUACUUGACGACCCGGCGGCUUAGUUGAAUGGCCUAACACAGAUGGACCUUUAAUCGUAAUGCAUUUGGGAAGCAAUUUCAUUCAUCGCCAAAUAAGGUCAAUCUACUUUUCCCAUCAUCGUCAGGAACUAAUCAUAGCAUCAAACACCAGUAAACGCAAUCAAAAUAACUUGAUAACCCAGCUUCCUGUGCUCUCCAACUCGUUCUUAAACCAACUCUUGAAAUGGCCAAAAUGAAAAAUAAAAUUAACCUGGUAAACCAAUUACAGAAACAUUAUCAUGGCAAUUAUGAGGCGAAGAAUAUGUUUUAAAUGAAAAAUAAUUCUUAUCUUAUACCUAUUAUCAUCACAAUCAUAUUUCUCUUCACUUUUCCUUAUAAUCAAAUACAAUUAUUGUCAAUUCCACAAUUUGUUUACUACCUCAAUAGGAAACAUACUGUUGACAAGCAAACAUGAAUCAAUUGGAAUGUUUAUUUUCCUCAGACAAAUAAAGAACAAUUUAGAUUGAAA